UCAACCCCCAGCCCCCUCCCCUUCUCAUAUACCUCACUCACACACACACUCCUCACACUCACAGGACUACCAUUCCAAGACCAGUCACCAUGGCCGACAAGAAAGGUGAUACUGCCAACAGCAAACCGAUGGUUAGGAAGAAAGAGAGGACAACAAAGACAGCGGUGGAGAUCAAGAAACAGGUGAAGACGGAGAUGAAGAGGGAGGUGAAGUCAAGUUUAGUGAAGAAAGAGGAAAAGGUCCUGGUGUUUGGGGAGAAGGUGGAGGGGAACGGAGAGGUCCCAAUGGAGGAGGGAGCCACAGCUAAUAAAGACAUGGCUAACGGGGCGGUGGAGCCUAACGCAGCAGAUGGAGAGUAUGAACCCAUUGAGCUUCCUCCUUGGGAGAUCAUGGAAGGGGACCGCAUCGACCCGUUCCAAUUCAAGUUCCAGUUCAAGAAUGUGGAGUACUCGUCAGGUCGGAACAAGACGUUCCUGUGUUACCUGGUGGACAAGGGGAAAGCUGAUGAUGGUCUGAUGAGAGGUUACCUGGAGGAUGAACACUCAGGAGCCCACGCUGAGCAGGCCUUCUUUCUCAAGACUCUCCCAGACUACGACCUUGCUGUCAAAUACACUGUCACCUGGUACAUGUCAUCCAGCCCCUGUGCGGCCUGCGCGGCUAAGAUCGCAGAGGCCCUCCGGGCAAGGAAGACCAUCAAGAUGACCCUAUUUUCAGCCCGGCUGUUUGAGUGGGAGGAGCAAGAGAUCCAAGCGGGGCUAAAUGCUCUGUCUCAAGCGGGCUGUAAGCUGAGGAUGAUGAAGCCCAUGGACUUCACCUACGUCUGGGACACUUUUGUAGAGAACAACGACCUAACGUUCACCCUCUGGGAGGACUGCCAGGACAACUAUGAGUACUACCACGAGAAACUGGCCGAAAUCAUGCAGUGAUCACAGUGAGUGUAUGCCGGGAUGCACAUAGACACCUGCAGUCACAAGACUGAUCCCAGAGAUGAUCUCACAGAUGGAACACACAAAGCCAGUGAGGGGCCAGCCCAAUAGGCCAGAGCAGUAAAGCGAACGAGGGUGACCCCAGUGAGACCAACAGAUACAGCUAUUCCCCUGGCUGAUGAACUGCUGCAUAAUGAGGGCAGCUGCUGACAUUCAGGAGGAAUGGUGCUGAAGACUGGAGGCUCACCUUCAAUCCUGGGGUUCUGCUCCUCAGAGAACGUCUUAGUGCUCUAUUCAGUCUGUGUUGCAGCAUUACAGAUAACACAAUAGAAAUGUAAAGAAUUCACCCAUCACCUGCCACCUCCACUAUCCCAGCAUCCUCAGUGAUGUGAGCAGUUUGGGUGCUUGUGCGUCAAGCCAUUCUGCUCUACACCCCUCUAUGAAGCCAGCUACAGACCUCCCCUCCAUAUGGAACUCUCUGUCGCAGCUUCCAUUUUCCGUUCUGGAGUUGUUCUCACAGGACGCGUGUUUGCUGGUUCAUCUGUGGAUUAAUUGUCAAUGUCAAGAUGAAGGCUUUGCAAUGAUGCACUCCUGGGUUAUAAUUAAAGUAUAAAUGAUCUAUUAUUUUUUAUUACAAUUGAAGUUAUAAUAAUU